CGUUUCCAAAAUCGAACUCUCCUGGGCUAUGACUCCUACGUGACUUCCAGGCUAUUAGGAUCCCAGGACUGCAUGUCCGUGGAAGAGAUUCCAUUCAAAUCAUUGCUAGCUGAAGAUUCUGAUAACCAGGAGCCAUGCAGUGUUGCUGCAUUUAUAACGAGACAUUGUCUUCCACCAGAUAGAAGAUAAAGAGCUCUAAUAAUUCAUGACAAGUUGUUUCGUGGUCAUACGUAGGAGAGGGUGGGAAAUGGCCGUCAAAUAAGAUAGGCCGAAUUUGUAAUCUGGCUGUGUUUGUGAGUUAGUAUUGCAAUCUCCCAAGAUGGGCAAUUGCUUUGGAGGGAAAUCGUGGGGCACUGCUGCCAUCUAGUGCCCAGGUUUUCUUGUUUGGUGUUUCUAGAGAAAUCCAUCCUUGGGUCUCUGCUCUCUUACCUGAUCGGGGCUCCCUUUACUGUUUUUGAGGGCCCUUCCAGGAGACGCCCUCCCUCCAGGCUGUCAGGCAACAUGUGAAAGUUAUUGUUACACUGGAGGCUUUCUCACUUUGAUUUUGAUUUUAUGAAAUCGCUGUAAAAGUUUGAUCACUACCAAAAUUCAAACGUACAGUGUCCAUUGAGCUUGGGUGCUGGGCCUUCACACCAGGCAUGCUGGUCAUUUGUUGUUGCUGUUGAUGAUGAUGAUGAUGAUGAUGUGGCUGGUUUCUUUUACUCCUAGGCCUUUUAUUAACAUUUGAACAAUUCAUAAUUUAUAUCCAAGUACAGAAUAAAGUUAGACUCUGAGUCUUUCCUUUUAGUCUUUCGAAAUUUUAGCCUCUCAAAAUAUUUUUAAAUGUUGACAUUUUAAAUUUUUCAUCAAC
rnacentral:lncRNA from 1 species